GCUAGCUCCGUGCGAGGGGCGGGGGGAUGUCGUGGGUGGCAUGCGUUGGCCGGAAGUAUAGGGCGUAAAGGGCUCGUAGGCGGUCUGUCGGUUCUGCUGUGAAAACCCGGGGCUCAACCCCGGGCCUGCAGUCGAUACGGGCAGACUAGAGUGCGGUAGGGGAGACUGGAAUUCCUGGUGUAGCGGUGAAAUGCGCAGAUAUCAGGAGGAACACCGGUGGCGAAGGCGGGUCUCUGGGCCGUAACUGACGCUGAGGAGCGAAAGCGUGGGGAGCGAACAGGAUUAGAUACCCCAGUAGUC
rnacentral:rRNA from 1 species